rnacentral:lncRNA from 1 species
AAAUCCCCUAGGUUGGUCAGGCUCUGGUAAAACCUCAGUCAGUUAGGUUCUGAUGAAAUAUUUGCUUUUGAGGACCAUCCUUGUUAAAAAGAACAGAAUAUUCUGGGCAUAUUUCAAAAUAGCUACCCUUCCCCUCUCCUUGCAGGAAGCACAAGAGGAUUUCCCUCCAAUCACUGUGAGAAUUUGGUAGAGCUCCUAGAAGCAAAACUCACAAAAAUGUGAAAGCCCCUUUAAGACUGGGCUCCCACGAAUUUUUAACUGUCCGUACUAAAACAGUUCAUCCAUUACAGUUUAGGCUUUCCUACUUUUACUGUUUCCCAUGGGGGUUUCUGUUCAUGAGCUUUUGUUCCAGUAAUCUGUGAUUCUCUGAAUCUGCUAGUCUGUCUCUCCAAUUUUGGAAACAGUAGUAUGCCCUGCAACUUCCAUUCUCUGAUGGAUCUAAGAAGAGUUUUUGAUUUCCAGCUUGUUCAGCUUUUUUGUGUGUAGAUGGGAGCAACAUUUCUAAGCCCCUUAUAUGCUGGACUGGAAACUGAAAUUCCCCCUCCAGACAACUAUAUUCUAUAUUCCAGUCGGGAAGAAGUAUGGACGAAGGAACUGUGUGCCCUCCAAGAACAUAUUUCUUUUUAAUCAGUAAAACAAUAAUUUUCCCAGAAACUACGUAGACUUUCACUUACAUCUUGUUGGCCAGAACUAGGUCACGUCACUACCCUUGUUGCAAAGGAGGCUUAAAACGUACGUAUUUUCUAACUGAGCGUGUGAUAACUCCAUAAAAAUUAGGGGACUGGUAGUAAGAAAAGUGAAGGGAAUGGAUACAUAGCAGACUACUGUGUUUUCCUCAGUUUAAUAUUUUGGCUGUCCAAUAUCCAUGCAUACAUGGCCUGUCACAGCAAAUGCUUAUCCUCUCUCCUGUGCAACAACUUCGAAGUCUCAUCAGCUUCUUGCACCCAGCUGAAGUGAAGGGAUUGCUUGGAGAUAUUCAAUGAUCUCUGUCAAAUAUAAUGACUAAUGAACUAAGUGCGUCUAAUAAACUAACAGAUGAGUCAAAAAAGGAGUAACCAAAGUCAAAACACUCUACAGAAGGGAAAACAGGAAACAUACAGCAGUCACUUAUCCAUAGGAAAUAUUAAAUUAUUCUGAGUAAGAAUAGCAAGAACUCCCUGUUCUGCAAUAGAGUAAAAUUUUGAAUAUUCCAUCUGCCAGUUCUACAUCUAGUUAUGCUGUAAGUCAACACCGUCCAAGAGAAAUAUAGCAUGAGCCACAAAGGCCAGCCUCAUAUGUAAUUUCAAAUUUCCUAGAAUUCUCACUUAAAAAAUAAGUUGGUAUAUUAACAAUAUAUUCAUCUAACCUAGGAUAUCAAAAAUCUUAAUUUAUAAUCAACAUGAUCAAAGUAUUAAUUAUAUGUAUUAUAUCCUUUUUAAUACCAAGUCUUUGAAAGCUAGUGUAUUUUUUACAUUUAUAGCACAUCUCAAUUUGGAAUAGUCACAUUUCAAGUGCUCAAUAGCCGCAUAUAGCUAGUGACUACAACAACUAUAUAGACAAUGCAUCUCUAAGUCCUCUCUCUGUCCACUGCCCUCCAUGAAUCUUAAUUCUACUCCCAAGGGGAUUCUCUGCAUCUCUUACCUUUCCAGGCUGUACAUGAAGUAUACAUUAUGGAAAAUGCCUUAACUGGAGCCGCACGAUUUUCACAGCACACCUGCACAUGGUAUAUGUUUGGCAGACCCACAGAUAGCCCUAGGAGUUGAAUAUUCAGACUGUAACUUGCCAAGUUUGUAUAUUGUUGGCAGUGGAAUUCCCUCAGAAAUCAAGCAUUACUUCUGUUCAAUGACUUGUAACCACAACCGAAGAUUAUGUGUAAAUGUCACCUUAAAAUGUCUCCAGAGAGGCUUGGGGCACCAGUAUAAUCUCUUGCAAAGAGUGCAGCUUUGCUUGCAUUGACUUUGGUGAUGGAUACAGAAACAGUGGCAUUUUUAUCUUUGAAAAGCUCUCAGUCAACAUAGAUUGCAGGCCUGAACAAAUGCAGAUUUCAGGCCUGGACAAAGAGUGUCUCCUUUAUUGAAAUUCUAAUUCCUUCUACCCCUACUAGCAGUAAACUGACAAAGGAUCUCAUUUGCCCAAGACUAAGAUGGUUCCCAGGAUGUAGAGCUUUCAAUUUUAAGACUGGAAAAAUAGUUUCAGGAAAAUGGAUGAGUGUGCCACUCUAGCUUACAGAUAGGCCAAAUCCAGACUUGGUCUCUCUCUCUCAGAAUUUUGCUUCCCAAAGCUCCAUUUUCUCUACAUUUUAGGAUCUGUUAUUUGCAGCAAUCCGUUUCCAGAUUUCAGCUUCUUUAUUAGUUAUGGAUUGCAUUUGGCUGCAUACAUCAGAAAACUGACUAGAAGCUUAAUCAAAUAGAGAAAUAUUUUUCUCAAGCAAUGGAAGUAUGAAAGUGGGUAAACUGUCUGACAUAGUAACUCCAUAAAGUGUGAAGAACUCGAGUUCCAUCUAGCUUUCUUCUUACUCAACUUUAGCAUGUGACUUUUGUCCUUAUAAUCAAAAAAUGAUUCAUCUAUCUUCAGAAGCUGCAUAUUCAUUUUAGGCAAGAUUAAGAUUAAGGGUAAUGUACAAGAAAAGAAGCACAUUAACUGAGGCUGAGUUUAAUAUCAACCAAAAAAAAAAAAAAAAUGGCUUUCUCAGAAGCCUUCCAUCCAGUAGAAUUCCACAUACAUCUCAUUAUUUUGGUUGUGUGGCUACUCCUAACUUCAGGGGACUCUGAGAGAUGAGUAUGAGUAUUUUUCAUUGAUUUAUUGAUGCCUCAAAAGAAUAAGGCUAUUGUUAGCAAAGAAGAAAAGAGAAAGAAUGCAAGCUAAUAGUGGAAAGUAAAGAAAGGAAUACAUCUAUAUGAUUAGGCAACAUGAUAACAGAGACUAAACAUAUGUGGAAAAAUUCUGGAACCCAUCUCUUCGAAUGCGCCUCUCUACAUUCUUUCCACCUAUGACAGAGAAUUCAUAAGACAAUAUUUUAUGUAUACAAAAUUUUAUAAAUACAGUCUAAAUCUUAGUAAAG